UGUGACUCCUCCUAGCGGGGAGCUGGGGAGCUUUGUGGCAGUAGAGCUUGUGUGUACUUUGACAGAUCUUUGAGGGAGCGCCAAAGCUAGGAAGCCUCACCAGGAUUUUAUACUCAGUUUAAGUCCGUUUCUCUAUUACUGACACUCCACCCAUCAUAUUUUCUUCAGUAUGUUUACAGAAAGAAGAAACAAAGACAAGUAGAUGAGAGCAGAGCAGGGCCAACUGCGGGGCCAGGUGCAGGUGCAGGCCCCAUGGGCACAUUUACCCUCUGCUUAUUGUAAGGUUCGUUUAUUUCAGAAGUCAGGGACAAUAAUGCCCACUUUCUGUAGUUGAAGUUUGCUGCAAUAAACAGAUGAGGGUAUGUAAAUGAACAAUACUGGAAGGAUACAUGGCAGCACAUGAAUGUGAAAAUUAAAUUUUUCAGAAAGCAAUGGGCUGGAGGGAUGGCUCAGCAGUUAAGGACACUGGUUGCUCUUCCAGAGGUCCUGAGUUCAAUUCCCAGCAACCACAUGGUGGCUCAUAACCGUCUAUAAUGAGACCUGAUGCCCUCUUCUGGCCUGCACGCAGAACACUGAUUAUGUAUACAUACAUAAUCAAUAAGUAAAUCUUUUUUUAAAAACCUCAGAAAGGGACAGAUCCUCCUGAUAAAUGCUUAAUUUGAACUCCUUGUUUCUGCUUUUGAUCACAGGAAACAAGGCAAGAAUCAGGCAAGAUUAAGAAAACAGUGGAAAGGAAGCAGCUCUAGGCAGUGGGGUGGAGCCGAAGCCCUUCAGACAGUGAGAUGGCUGACAGACGGGAUUUGUACCCUGAUGCUGACUGGGUGUCUUAGUCAGGGUUUCUAUUCCUGCACAAACGUCAUGACCAAGAAGCAAGUUGGGGAGGAAAGGGUUUAUUCAGCUUACACUUCCACACUGCUGUUCAUCACCAAAGGAAGUCAGGACUAGAACUCAAGCAGGUCAGCUGAUGCAGAGGCCAUGGAGGGAUGUUGCUUACUGGCUUGCUUCCUCUGCCUUGCUCAGCUUGCUUUCUUAUAGAAUCCAGGACUACCAGCCCAGAGAUGAUAUCACCCAAAAUGGGCCCUCACCACCCCCUUGAUCACUAAUUGAGAAAAUGCCUUACAUCUGGAUCUCAUGGAGGCAUUUCCUCACCUGAAGCUCCUUUCUCUGUGAUAACUCCAGCCUGUGUUAAGUUGACACACAAAACCAGCUGGUAAGUACACUGGGCUAUCUAUAAAUGUCUGCAAUGGGAAAAUAAUAUCUAUUUUCAGUGUUUCUAUAAGAAAUAGACUUAUAGGUCUUGGGAAAUGACUCAGUAGGUAAAAAUGCCUACCAUGCAGACAUAAGAACCUGAGAUCAAACUGAUAGCACUCAGGAAAAAGCCAGAUGAUGAUAUAUGCCUGUGAUCCCAGCACUGCGGAGGGAGAGGCAGACAGAUCCCUGGGAUUGCUGACAGCCAGUCCAGCCAAAUCAGUGAACUCCAGGUUCAGUGAGAGGCUCUGCCUCA
rnacentral:lncRNA from 1 species